rnacentral:rRNA from 1 species
UACGGGGGGGGGCAAGCGUUGUUCGGAAUUACUGGGCGUAAAGGGCUCGUAGGCGGCCAACUAAGUCAGACGUGAAAAUCCCUCGGCUUAACCGGGGAACUGCGUCUGAUACUGGAUGGCUUGAAUCCGGGAGAGGGAUGUGGAAUUCCAGGUGUAGCGGUGAAAUGCGUAGAUAUCUGGAGGAACACCGAUGGCGAAGGCAGGUCUCUGGGCCAUAACUGACGCUGAGAAGCGAAAGCAUGGGGAGCGAACAGG